rnacentral:rRNA from 1 species
UGUAAGCGUAUACCAAAGUUGUUGCAGUUAAAACGCUCGUAGUCGGAAUUUGGCAGUUCCGGAUGUGUGCACGUCGUGUGCGCACUUCGCGGGGAUUGCUUUUGUGGUCUUGCGUAGGAUGAGGCACUUUUAUUAGUGAACGUCCUCACGCAACCACUUUUUACUGUGAGAAAAUCAGAGUGCUCAAAGCAGGCAUUUGCCGUGAAUGUAUUAGCAUGGAAUAAUAGAAUAGGACUUGGUUCUAUUUUGUUGGUUUGUUGGGACUGAGUAAUGAUUAAGAGGGACAGUUGGGGGCAUUUGUAUUUCGGUGCUAUAGGUGAAAUUCUUAGAUUACCGAAAGACAAACUGCUGCGAAAGCGUCUGCCAAGGAUGUUUUCAUUGA